GCUGGGCGCGAUGGUGCACGCCUGUAUUCCCAGCUGCUUGGGAGGCUGAGGCAGGAGGAUCUCAAGUUCAAAGCCAGCCUCAGCAACCGAGAGAGGCCCUAAUCAACUCAGGGAGACCCUGUCUUUA
rnacentral:sRNA from 1 species